rnacentral:rRNA from 1 species
CAGUCGCCACGGUAAAACGGAGGGUGCUAGCGUUGUUCGGAAUCACUGGGCGUAAAGGGCGCGUAGGCGGCCUGUUAAGUCGGAUGUGAAAGCCCGGGGCUCAACCCCGGAACUGCAUCCGAGACUGGCAGGCUUGAGACCGGGAGAGGAGGGUGGAAUAUCCAGUGUAGAGGUGAAAUUCGUAGAUAUUGGAUGGAACACCGGUGGCGAAAGCGGCUCUCUGGCCCGGAUCUGACGCUGAGGCGCGAAAGCGUGGGGAGCAAACAGGAUUAGAUACCCCAGUAGUCCCUGUCUCUUAUAC